rnacentral:lncRNA from 1 species
UUCUCCUGCCUGAUUGCCCUGGCCAGAACUUCCAACACUAUGUGGAAUAGGAGUGAUGAGAGAGGACAUUCUUGUCUUGUGCUGGUUUUCAAAGGGAAUGCUUCCAGCUUUUGCCCAUUCAGUAUGAUA